rnacentral:rRNA from 1 species
AAUAGAUACCCAGGUAGUCCACGCCGUAAACGAUGAGUGCUAAGUGUUAGAGGGUUUCCGCCCUUUAGUGCUGCAGCUAACGCAUUAAGCACUCCGCCUGGGGAGUACGGUCGCAAGACUGAAACUCAAAGGAAUUGACGGGGGCCCGCACAAGCGGUGGAGCAUGUGGUUUAAUUCGAAGCAACGCGAAGAACCUUACCAGGUCUUGACAUCCUCUGACAACUCUAGAGAUAGAGCGUUCCCCUUCGGGGGACAGAGUGACAGGUGGUGCAUGGUUGUCGUCAGCUCGUGUCGUGAGAUGUUGGAUUAAGUCCCGCAACGAGCGCAACCCUUGAUCUUAGUUGCCAGCAUUUAGUUGGGCACUCUAAGGUGACUGCCGGUGACAAACCGGAGGAAGGUGGGGAUGACGUCAAAUCAUCAUGCCCCUUAUGACCUGGGCUACACACGUGCUACAAUGGAUGGUACAAAGGGCUGCAAGACCGCGAGGUCAAGCCAAUCCCAUAAAACCAUUCUCAGUUCGGAUUGU